rnacentral:lncRNA from 1 species
GUUUCCAGUGUUGAAAGAGAAGAUGUAUGAUGUCAACUUCCCUUCAGGUCACUGAAGACAGAGAAAGACUCUGGAAGUACCUGACAUGAGAAAAGUUGACAGUUUCCAUCAUGUCUCUACUAUAGUUUGCUACAUUAGAGCCAUAAGGGAAUUUCCUUUCAGUGUUUUACAUCCUUGA